GGGUCUGUAGCUCAGUUGGUUAGAGCGCACCCCUGAUAAGGGUGAGGUCGCUGGUUCAACUCCAGCCAGACCCACCA
rnacentral:tRNA from 29 species